AUCACACACAAGACAGGAAGUGAAAACCACAUGACGACUCAAUUAUCAAUCAUCUAACGCAGCUUAAGGAAUAAUUUAAGUAAACAUCAAUAAGUGUAUAUUUUAAUGCAAGUACACAAGGUUUUUUUAAAUCAUAAAAAAUAUGAAAACAUACCAGUCAUAUUGCACAAAAAUCAACUUAAUUGUAAAGGAAAAUAUGAUUUUAUUCCCCAACGACACAUUUAUUCUUGUUUUAAGCAUUUCACAUGUUCAGCUUCUCAGGAAAAAAAACACCGGGCUCAUUUAGUCUUGAUUUAAUAAUGUACUGUGCGUGCAACGUUUAGUGCCACCACUUCCUGUUCACAUACAAGACAUUUUUAUGCCUUAAUGUGUGAAAAGGCCAGACUUUACGACCUCUGCUUGACCUUUUACCUUGACAGCCAGCAUGUGAACACUAGUGUCUCCUGUUUACUAAAGUGAAGCCGUUAAACUAAGCGUUUAUGAAAGAGAUGAAUAGAAUUAGCUUUAUUAACGUCAGCAUUCAGCAAAGACACGUCUAAACAAGUCACUUUCAUGGAGCUUUCUGUUGCUCAAUACAAUAAAUUCACAAAAAGCAGUUGUGUAAUCAGUGUGGAAAUAUCCUACGCACUCAGAAUUCCCAAUCCCCUGGAUUCCGACGGCAAAUAUUCCCUGAACACUACGAGGAGAGCACACCUUUAAACGGGACUCUGAACUCUGCAUCAUCCAUGUAAACCUCAGGGGCUUGUGAGAGCGUCCUCUGACCUGUGGGAUCGCAGCCAUGAAGUAUCCUGAAGGUGGCGCUGGCUGGUAGGGGUUGAGGACGGGGUUGGGCACGGCUCUGACGCUGGCCAUCCUCUGCAUGUA